rnacentral:rRNA from 1 species
GAUUAACGCUGGCGGCAUGCCUAAUACAUGCAAGUCGAACGGAAGCAGCAAUGCUUUAGUGGCGAACGGGUGAGUAACACGUAGGGAACCUACCUAUACGACGAGGAUAACUACUGGAAACGGUAGCUAAAACUGGAUAGGAUCAAUUGAGGCAUCUUGAUUGAUUUAAAGAUCCUUCGGGAUUACGUAGAGAUGGCCCUGCGGCGCAUUAGCUAGUUGGUGAGGUAACGGCCCACCAAGGCGACGAUGCGUAGCUGAGCUGAGAGGCUAAACAGCCACACUGGGACUGAGACACGGCCCAGACUCCUACGGGAGGCAGCAGUAGGGAAUUUUCGGCAAUGGGGGAAACCCUGACCGAGCAACGCCGCGUGAGUGACGAAGG